AUGCAGCUUAAUUAUUUAGCCUUUAGUAGAAGAAAGAAAGAAAGAAAGACGAGGAUGAAGAGGACCUCUCACUCACCUCCCAGCUUCUUCUCCGUGUGUUCCGUCCGAGUCAGACAGUUAGCACUACUUUCUACUCGUGUUUUACAAUCUUGUUCCAUAAAGCAUGGCCCUGCUGUUGCUUCCUGCUCCUGCAUAAGCACCCGAAAAAUCGAAACAAAUCUCCUUGCUGUAACUUUCGUGUCUCGUUUUGUCUGUUUUUCAUCGCUCUCGCUUUGCGAAUGUCAGUGCUGGUGCCUACAUGUUUUCGACAUGCUUGCUGAUCGGGGAGGCCACUGA
rnacentral:rRNA from 1 species